GUCAUGGUGUCUCUUCACAGCACUGAAAUCCUAAGACAGUGUUUCAGCCCCAAGAGAAGCAGGUCUCACUGUCUGUCUGGCCAUUAAUACACUUCAGCACAAAGUGAGGACACCUGCUGCCUGUGGACACUGCCACCUUUUAGCUGGGAGUGAUGCUGAAGUCCUGUAAUUCCAGCGCUCACUUUAUAGCUAAGGAAACACACAUUUCACUUGCUCAAGGUCCCACAGACUCGCCAGUUAGUAUCAUCUAGAACCUUCUGUAACUGAAGAUCAGAACACCUGCCCCUCCCCCAACCUCCUGAUUCUACCUCCUGUUAAGUUUUCACUUAGAACUCAUACCUUCUUGUCACCUGGACAAAGUGUAGGGCUUCAACCCUUGUUUAGGAGUCACCUAGAUAUCAGAACCUAGCUUUAAAAUGUUCAUUGCUACUUCAUAACUUUAAUUUUGGUACUGUUAGGAAUCACAAUGUUACAAAUGUGUGUUUUCUGAUUGUUUUAGGUGACUCCUGUUAAAGAGUCACUCAACCUCCCUCCCCAAAGGAGGUUGUGACCCACAGGUGAGAAACAAUGCUUUAAAAGAUCAGGACAGGUUUCAAACUAGAAUCCCAGAACUGAAUGAAAGAAAUUUGUAAAGUCUUCUCAAAUGAGUCAGACUUCUUUGUAGGGAGAGGAUUUUUAUCAUCUUUCAGAAAACUUUCAAAUGCUGAAAAGGCAUCAUGGGAGAGAGAGAGAGGAUGCCACUGGAGUUCACUGUUGGUGAUAUAUUCAAGGAUGUUGACAAAAAGCAAGGGAACAGGUGAGGUACAGAGGAGGAAGGGGUUUACCUGCAUUCUGAAUGGGGAAUUAACUUUGAGCUUCCAUUUGUUUUGAUUAGCUCAUCCAUAGUCAUCUUAAAACUUCAUGAGCUACGAAUGUUCAUUCCAGUACUAAUAAUCCAUUCUCCUACCACAGCCUCUAGCUAUUAGGUUACUAUCAAGGAAGUAAACACUAUUACUUUUUUCUCUCCAUGCUUUCCCCAGGAAUAUCUGAGCAUAUGAUAAAACAAUCUGCCCAUCUUAUAUGAUCUGCUAACCAUUAACACUGAUCAUAGGACAGGACACACUUUUUUUUUCCAGGUAACUACACCUUUUGAAGGUGUUUGUGUAUAUUAACAUAAUUGUAUUAUUUUGAAGGGAUUCAUUAAGUGGGCUUCCCCAAUUAGCUUUAACUGUGAACCUGGCUCAGGUUAGAGUUACCCAUGAGGGUUAUCUCAGGUCAGAUUGGCCUAUGAAUAUGUCUGUGGGGGAUUGUCUUGAUUAUUAAUUGGUGUAGGAGGACCCAGCCCACUGUGGGUGGUAGCAUUCCUUAGCCUGUAUGAGAAAGCUACUAAGCAUGAGCCUAGGAGCCAGUCAGCUAGCAGCAUCUUGCAUUGUUCCUGCUGUACUUACUGGUUAUGAGUUAAUUUCCUGGAUUAGACAUAAUGAUAUGUAAAAUAACAAGUUUUCCUGUUUCAGGUUCCUGUCUUGAUUUUCUCCAAUGCGACUGUGUCUGCUAAGUAUAAGUCAAAUCUAUCUUUUCCUUCUCCAUAUUAUUUUUGAUCAGAGUGUUUUUAUCAUGCAACUAGAACACAUGACAUGAUAAUAGACAAUUAGGCUCUUUUAUUUCUUUGCUCUUAGAAACCAAACAACGAUAACAACAAAACCACUGGAGCCAUGAAUGACAUCAAAUGUAUAGUACUUUUUACAUAUUUGGGGUUGAUGAGGGAUAAAUUGUUGAAGAAUUUAGAUGAAAGCUACUUACCUAUAACUGAUUGAUAGUGCCAAGAUUUUACCCUUUCAAAGAUUUUCCAGGUUAUAGCCUUCUAUCAGUAGAUAAAAUUUAUUAUUAUUGUUGGAGUAGGUACAAAUGAUAGUAUAUGUGCUAAUUUAAUUUGAUAUGAUUUUGUUUUUCUUGUGGUAGGGCACAGAAGCCAAGUCCUUACAAUGUUGGAUGUGUUCUCUUUUACUGAGCUUUUGACUAAUUAUGCAUCUUGCCACUGCCUGCACCCCCAUAAUUGCAAACAUAGUUUUAUUUCUGUUUAUAGUCAUGAAUGAAUAUUCAUUUAUGUGAUUAAGAGAUGUGAUAUUUCUUUUGCUCAGAAUUAUCUGUUCAUGAUUUUCCCCCCAUGUAAUAGUUGGUAAUCUUCAGAGGAGUUUAAUGUGUCCUGUGCCUAAAUUGUUUACCUGCAAUCUGAACUGCAAACUCAUUUGUGAAGAUUUUUCCCCAUAAAUAUUUAAUAUAUGAAUGAUGGGACCAUGUAGCAGGAAGCAGUAGAAUCUGGAAGCCUCAGCCUCAUGGUUCUGAGUGUAGAGUCACAGAAGAAAGGGGUUCUAGAGUCAUAGAAGUCAUAGUCAAGUCUAGUGUCGUAGGAGCAAGCUCUUUGUAACUAAGGAAAGUCACUGGACCAGGCAUGUGUCAGAGGUGUCCCUGAAGUUAGGCCCAGAGAGGCUAUGUAUGAAGCUGUGAAGGUGAAGCCUGGUUGCCUUGAAGCCCCAAAGAAACUGAAGAUGCCAGAGCCAUUGUUAUCUGCCAAAGAGACCUGCUAACAGAGAGUGGAAUGUGGACUAGAGAGACAAGAGUGGAGAGCUGGAGAUCUGAAGAGCCUUUUGAUAUCAGAAAUGGAGAUGCUGUGUUUGGAGUUUGCCCAGCUGAGUUUUGGUCUUACUUUGGUCUGGUAUAUCCCCACUGUGCUCCCUUUUUUACAUUUUGGAAUGAUAAUGUAUUUCUCGUGCAAUUAUAUGUUAUGAGUAAGUAGUCUGCUUUUUUGAUUUGGAUUUUAUAGGUGAUUACAGUUAAGAGAUGGUCAAGAGUCUUAAAACAGACUGAGGUUUUAUAGACUAGAGACUGCUAUAGACUGUGGGAACAUUUGAAGUUGGACUAAAUGCCUUUGCUUUCUGACAUAACUAUAAGCCUAUGGAGGUCAGGGAAUAGAAUGUGAUAUUUAGGAUAUAAAGGGCCUCCAUAGGCUCUAGGGAGUGACACUUUAAUUAGGUUGGUUUUCUGUCUCUUUCUGUUGUCUGUAGUUCCAGUUGUGGAAUACUCAGCCAUGCUUCCCAACAUGACAGUAGUGGAUUAUACCUCAAAACCAAACAAGGAUAGUGACUAAAACUGGAGGCAUGAAUGACAUCGGAUGUAUUCCACUUUUUCAUAUUUCGGGAGGAUGAGUGAAAAAUUGUUAAAAAUGGAAUUAAGAUGCAGAUGUGGACCUCUCAUCCAUCCUCCCCAACAUGACAGUAGUGGACUAUACCUCGGUAAGUCAGCCCCAAUGAAAUGUUUUCUUUUAUAAGUGUUGCCAUGGUUGUGGUUUGAAUAUUCUUGGCCCAUGGGAAGUAGAACUUAGAGGAAGUGUGGCCUUGUUGGAAUAAGUUUGGCCUUGUUGAAAGGAGUGUUAAUGUGAGUGUGGGCUUUGAAGUCUUCUAGGUUUAAGCUACAUGAAAUGUGCUAUUCCAGUAGUCUCAUGUUGGAGCCUUUGGAUCAAAAUGUAGAACUCUCAGCUCUUCUAACCCAUGUCUGCCUGAACACUGUGAUGCUUUCUGCCAUGGUAAUAACGGACUGUACCUCAGAAAUUGUAAGCCAGCCCCAAUGAAAUGUUGUCCUUUAUAAGAGUUGCCUUGGUCAUGUUGUCUCCUCACAGCACUGAAACCCUAAGACCGUGUUUCAGUGCCAAGAGAAGCAGGUCUCACUAUUUGUCUGGCCCUUAAUGCACUUCAGCACAAAGUGAGGACACCUGCUGCCUGUGGACACUGCCACCUUUAAGCUGGACAUGAUGCUGAAGCCAUCUAGUCCCACUGCUCACUUUAUAGCUAAGGAAGCAUGUUUCACUUGCUCAAGGUCCCAUAGACAUGCCAGUUGGUAUCUUUCUAGAAAGUUCUGUAACUCCAGGUCAGUACACAUGCCCCUCCUCCAACCUCCAUCUCACUCUUAGUUUUUCACUUAGAAAUCUACCUUCAUGGCGUGUGUACAAAGUGUGCACCUUGAACCUUUGUUUUAAAACCACUCAACUAUCAGAACUUAGCUUUAAAAUAAUGGGGAUUUGAUGUCUAAGGCAAUUGGCUUCAUUGAUAAUAAUUUCAUGCAAUAAUUCUGAACUUCAUUUAGUGUUACAUAUGUAGUCACAGCUUAGUGUCACAUACAUUUAAAUAUAGAUUUUCUUCUCUAUAAUCAGAGCCUUAUUUCCUGUUAAAGCACAACCCCUACCUGUUGACCUUGAAACAGAUUGUCCUUUUAUAAUUGUACACUUGUUUGCAUCUAACUCUUCUUGGCUUUUUCUUCACUCCUGACCUUGGUAGGUAGCCUCUACUCUGAACAGAAACGUGCUCUUCGACCUAGACUUUGCACGAACAGAAAGGAGUUGGAGAAACCCCUUUUGCCUGUGAGGUCGGUUAUCUGUUCUGGUUGGUAUUGGUAGGUUUUUCUCCCUAGCUCAAAAUUUACAUUCUAAAUCCUGCUGCAGCAGGGAAUGAUGGCGGAGAAUAAGGAACAUCUGCUCAGAUGCAGGCAUUACUGCGAUGACAGGGUUCCCUGGAGUAGGGUGAUGGGAGCCAGAGGAUGCUCCCAAGGAGAUUUGCAGAGUUAAAAAGUGGCAUCUGUGAAACCUAGUGAGAAUAUAAGGAAUGUGCUGGAACAGAUGGUGUGUGAAGAACACUGGAAUAAAACGGUUCCCUGAAAACCUUUCAAGGAUUAGUAAAUGUGGCAGAGGGAAAAGAGGACAAAAGAUUAAUGACGACUAGAUUGUAUUAUGCAAUUUUCCUGUGUAGCUUUAUACUCUAAAAUGACGAUUUUUUUUUAAAAUGCAGGUCACUAGGGCCCUGUCAUGGCAAAAUUCUGUGGUGUCGAUAAACAUUUUUCCUACAGUGCUCUAAAAGAUGCUUUUUUACUUCAAGGGUUGUUCAUGGAAUUAGAACAGAAAGGCUGAUCCUGAGUGGGUGGAUUUCAGCUUGGGAGAUGUACACGCCUAAAACGUAAAAGUAACAGCUUAAACAAAUGUAUUUAUUACUAUAUUGUUCUUAGCUUAAUGCAGCUCACAUUUUAUUGCAGUCAGCUGAUGUCAGAUAACUAUGGGUGAGGUUUGUAUACUGGACUGAAGAUCAAAGAAAAACCAAGUUAGACAUUAUCAACAAAGGAUUCAUGAAUGGGAGAUUACAGUUGCCAUAGCAACUAUGAGUGUACAAGCCUGGGCUGGGUGCUCAGAAAGCUGAUGACUAAUAAGUAUCAUUCUUUUGAGAAGGUCACAGUUUUCCUUGCCCUUAUAAUUUUUACCUUUGAUUUGUUCUAAAAUUAAUUUGGCAAAAGUUCAUCUUACUGGCUGCUUCUAUAAGAACAUCAAAACGAUGACUGAGUCAAAAUAAUUUAAAGAGAAAUUGUACCUAUUCUUGAGGGUUCCCUGUGGUACACGAAGCUGGAAGAUACAUCUGUAUUUAUACAUCAUUUCCUCCUAAGAUGGGAUACAGGUCAGUUGGCAGCCUGGGGUGAGAGGCACUGCUAAGGUUGCCACCAAGGAUUCCCCCUCGUCCCCUACUGUCCAUGACUUCUUAUUAUGAUUAGAAGAUUAUGAAGUCCAUAUUUCUAGGCUACUAAAAAAAGGAGAAACUAAAGAAAGAGGUAAAAUCAACAAGGGAGACUUUACAGUGAUGUUCUGAAAGGAGACUCUUGCCAACAUCCUCCUUUGGCUGGGCACUAACAUUCCCACUUAGCCUGACUCUCACCUUGUGUAGAUAUAUGACUCUAGAAGAUGCUUAUACCCAAGUUACUCUAAAAAUUUAGAAAUGUAUAUUAUACUAAACGUAUAUUCACCCCCAUGCUUUUUUUAAAAAUAGUGUGUGUGUCUGUGUGUGUCUGUCUGUGUCCUUGUAAACAGAGGGGCACAUGCAUACAGGUGCUUCAGGAGGCUUGUUCAAUAUGGGUGAUGGGUCUUGAUGUUAUGAACUUAUUUAUCCCUGGCUUUCAUACUUUAACUAAGCAUUGUGCCGAGCUGUAUCUCAGCUUAUCUAUCUACCUCAGAUUUUAACACGGAAAUACUUAUUAAUAACUCGUUAAACCGUCAUUCAAAAACUUGUCUUUCUUUCUUUUUUUUUUUAUU
rnacentral:sRNA from 1 species